rnacentral:rRNA from 1 species
CCUACGGGUGGCAGCAGUGAGGAAUAUUGGUCAAUGGGCGUAAGCCUGAACCAGCCAAGUCGCGUGAGGGAUGAAGGUUCUAUGGAUCGUAAACCUCUUUUAUAAGGGAAUAAAUGGUGGCACGUGUCCUAUUUUGUAUGUACCUUAUGAAUAAGGAUCGGCUAACUCCGUGCCAACAGCCGCGGUAAUACGGAGGAUCCGAGCGUUAUCCGGAUUUAUUUGGUUUAAAGGGUGCGUAGGCGGCCUUUUAAGUCAGCGGUGAAAGUCUGUGGCUAAACCAUAGAAUUGCCGUUGAAACUGGGGGGCUCGAGUAGGUUUGAGGCAGGCGGAAUGCGUGGUGUAGCGGUGAAAUGCUUAGAUAUCACGCAGAACCCCGAUUGCGAAGGCAGCAUGCCAAGCCAUGACUGACGCUGAUGCACGAAAGCGUGGGGAUCAAACAGGAUUAGAUACCCCAGUAGUC